rnacentral:rRNA from 1 species
UACGUAGGGUGCAAGCGUUAAUCGGAAUUACUGGGCGUAAAGGGUGUGUAGGCGGUUGUUUAAGUUUGGUGUGAAAUCUCCCGGCUCAACCGGGAGGGUGCGCCGAAUACUGAAUGACUUGGAGUGCGGGAGAGGAAAGUGGAAUUCCUGGUGUAGCGGUGAAAUGCGUAGAUAUCAGGAGGAACACCGGUGGUGUAGACGGCUUUCUGGACCGUAACUGACGCUGAGACACGGAAGCGUGGGUAGCAAACAGG